rnacentral:lncRNA from 1 species
CAUAUUUAGAAUGAAGAUCUUGAAAAUCACGGGUUAAACUGUCCAGUUUUUUCAUAAUAAAGUUAAACUUAGGUGUCCUGGAAAACUCUCCAUUUACAGUUUCAACGAAAUAGCACACUGUUAAAAUAAUCCAGAAAUACUGCAUAGUUGUUCAGGUCUGAUUUCUAAUAUGCACAGGUCUGGGUUAUUCUUAUCACUUCUUUGGCAUAGUUAUUUAUUAUCUAUUUG